ACGAAUUUACUAAAAUAAGAAAUCUAAAAAUAUUAUUUUAUAAUAAAAUUUUCUUAAUCUAAAUAAGAAAAACAAAACAGAGAGCACCCAAAAAUCUAAUAUUUAGAAAAAAAAUCCUAAAAAAAUAGGAAAAAUAAAAAAAUAGAUUUUUUGACUUGUCCACGAGGCAAAACAACAUUAAUUGUUCUAGAUUUGAUUGAUCUCGUUGUAAGUUUAGAAAUGAUAUAUUAUACGUUUAAAACGGAUACAUGUAAUGUAAAUUAUGUCCUCCAAAAAAUAUCAUACUUAUCCUACGCAACCAUUUUACAUUAAUAAUAUUGCAAAGCAAAAAUUAUUUAUUAUUAAUUUAGGCAUAUUAAACAAACAGGAAUUUAAUAUUUAUGCAAGUAUCCGACAUCCACGAACAUGAAAUAAAUAUAAUUUUAAUAAAAAAUUGAGUGAACAAUGCAAUCUUCCG
rnacentral:lncRNA from 1 species